GCUCAAGCAGCACGACGGAUCCACUACUCCCCGGGACAGUGGUCAUGGAAGUUAAAAUCUGCUAAGGAGUGUGUAACAACUCACCUGUCAAAUCAACUAGCCCCAAAAAUGGAUGGCGCUGAAGC
rfam:Oryza glumipatula chromosome 5, whole genome shotgun sequence.